rnacentral:rRNA from 1 species
UACGUAGGUGGCAAGCGUUGUCCGGAUUUACUGGGCGUAAAGAGCGCGCAGGCGGUCGUUCAAGUCGCGUGUGAAAGCCCCCGGCUCAACUGGGGAGGGUCACGCGAUACUGAUCGACUCGAAGGCAGGAGAGGGAAGUGGAAUUCCCGGUGUAGUGGUGAAAUGCGUAGAUAUCGGGAGGAACACCUGUGGCGAAGGCGGCUUUCUGGGCCUUACCUGACGCUGAGACGCGAAAGCGUGGGGGAGCGAACCGG